UCUAAGUGGGUGGUAAACUCCAUCUAAGGCUAAAUAUGACCAUGAGACCGAUAGCGAACAAGUACCGCGAGGGAAAGUUGAAAAGAACUUUGAAGAGAGAGUUCAAGAGUACGUGAAACCGUUCAGGGGUAAACCUGAGAAACCCAAAAGAUCGAAUGGGGAGAUUCAUCGUCAGCUYAUUUUGUAUAUGUAUGAGUUACGAUGCGGGUUACUAUUUAUAGUAUUGCCUGCACGUUCUUUUACAAUUAUUUGCAAGAUGAUGUCGGCGUGCACUUCUUCCCUAGUAGGACGUCGCGACCCGUUGAGAGUUGGUCUACGGCCCAAGCUGUAGCCUGUAAUGUUUAAAAUCAUUAUAGACACUUGGUGUUUUCUGACCCAACUACUCGGCGGUACACGUACGGUAUUGAGCCGCAAAUUUCAUUAUGCGUCCAUGCCCGUCCGCAAGCGAGGCCAAUUUCUGGUAGUACGGACCUAGUGCCGUCGCUGGUAUUGGCCAGCUGUUGGUUGUACGGUGUUCUGGGACUGGCUUAAAAAUAAAUUACCGGUCUGCGAUGCUACUGCUUUGGGUACUUUCAGGACCCGUCUU
rnacentral:rRNA from 1 species